GAUGAACGCUGGCGGCGUGCCUAAUACAUGCAAGUCGAGCGAACGGACGAGAAGCUUGCUUCUCUGAUGUUAGCGGCGGACGGGUGAGUAACACGUGGAUAACCUACCUAUAAGACUGGGAUAACUUCGGGAAACCGGAGCUAAUACCGGAUAAUAUUUUGAACCGCAUGGUUCAAAAGUGAAAGACGGUCUUGCUGUCACUUAUAGAUGGAUCCGCGCUGCAUUAGCUAGUUGGUAAGGUAACGGCUUACCAAGGCAACGAUGCAUAGCCGACCUGAGGGGGUGAUCGGCCACACUGGAACUGAGACACGGUCCAGACUCCUACGGGAGGCAGCAGUAGGGAAUCUUCCGCAAUGGGCGAAAGCCUGACGGAGCAACGCCGCGUGAGUGAUGAAGGUCUUCGGAUCGUAAAACUCUGUUAUUAGGGAAGAACAUAUGUGUAAGUAACUGUGCACAUCUUGACGGUACCUAAUCAGAAAGCCACGGCUAACUACGUGCCAGCAGCCGCGGUAAUACGUAGGUGGCAAGCGUUAUCCGGAAUUAUUGGGCGUAAAGCGCGCGUAGGCGGUUUUUUAAGUCUGAUGUGAAAGCCCACGGCUCAACCGUGGAGGGUCAUUGGAAACUGGAAAACUUGAGUGCAGAAGAGGAAAGUGGAAUUCCAUGUGUAGCGGUGAAAUGCGCAGAGAUAUGGAGGAACACCAGUGGCGAAGGCGACUUUCUGGUCUGUAACUGACGCUGAUGUGCGAAAGCGUGGGGAUCAAACAGGAUUAGAUACCCUGGUAGUCCACGCCGUAAACGAUGAGUGCUAAGUGUUAGGGGGUUUCCGCCCCUUAGUGCUGCAGCUAACGCAUUAAGCACUCCGCCUGGGGAGUACGACCGCAAGGUUGAAACUCAAAGGAAUUGACGGGGACCCGCACAAGCGGUGGAGCAUGUGGUUUAAUUCGAAGCAACGCGAAGAACCUUACCAAAUCUUGACAUCCUUUGACAACUCUAGAGAUAGAGCCUUCCCCUUCGGGGGACAAAGUGACAGGUGGUGCAUGGUUGUCGUCAGCUCGUGUCGUGAGAUAUUGGGUUAAGUCCCGCAACGAGCGCAACCCUUAAGCUUAGUUGCCAUCAUUAAGUUGGGCACUCUAAGUUGACUGCCGGUGACAAACCGGAGGAAGGUGGGGAUGACGUCAAAUCAUCAUGCCCCUUAUGAUUUGGGCUACACACGUGCUACAAUGGACAAUACAAAGGGCAGCGAAACCGCGAGGUCAAGCAAAUCCCAUAAAGUUGUUCUCAGUUCGGAUUGUAGUCUGCAACUCGACUACAUGAAGCUGGAAUCGCUAGUAAUCGUAGAUCAGCAUGCUACGGUGAAUACGUUCCCGGGUCU
rnacentral:rRNA from 1 species